rnacentral:rRNA from 1 species
GCCACUGCUAUUGGGGUUCGGCUAAGCCAUGCGAGUGGAGGGCGUCCCGCAAGGGAUGGCCCCGCAGACGGCUCAGUAACACGUCGUCAACCCACCUUAGGGUGGGGGACAACCUCGGGAAACUGAGGAUAAUCCCCCAUAGGCGGGGGAGGCUGGAAUGCGCCCCCGCUGAAAGCUCAGGCGCCCUAGGAUGGGACCGCGACCCAUCAGGCUGUUGGUGGUGUGACG